UUCUUACAGAUAAAAUUUUAAGUAUCUUCUGCUCAAUGAAUUUAAAUAGCUGCAUUUUGCACUAAGGUAGCAUAAUAAAUUGUUUUUUGAUUGAAAACUAGAAUGAAGGAAGGAAUGGAGAAAAUUUUUCUUGAUAUUGAUAAAUUGAAUUUAAAUUUUUAGUAAAAAUGCUAAAAUUAAAUUUAGGGACAAUAAGACCCUAUGAAGCUUUAUAUUUUGGUAAUUGGAGAUUUUAUUAUGUUGGGGCAACAUCCUAAGAGUAAAGUUUAGGAAGAUGUUAAAUUUAUAAGUUAUUAUAUAGAGCCAUAAUUUAUGAUUAUUUGAAAAAGUUACUCUAGGGAUAACAGCAUAAUUUAAAUUGGAAAGUUCAAAUUGAUAAUUUAGUUUAUGACCUCGAUGUUGAAUUAAUAUAACUUUUUGGUGAAGGAAUUUUAGGAGUUAGUCUGUUCGACUAUUUAUAUAUUACA
rnacentral:rRNA from 1 species